rnacentral:rRNA from 1 species
GAUGAACGCUAGCGGCAGGCUUAACACAUGCAAGUCGAGGGGCAGCAUGAACCCGACCUUCGGGAAGGUUUGAUGGCGACCGGCGCAAGGGUGCGUAACGCGUGAGCAACUUGCCCGUUUCUGGGGAAUAACCGGUGGAAACGCCGACUAAUACCCCAUGGCAUCAACUUUGGGCAUCCUUAGUUGAUUAAAGAAUUUCGGAAACGGAUAGGCUCGCGUGACACUAGCUAGAUGGCGGGGUAACGGCCCACCAUGGCAACGAUGUCUAGGGGUUCUGAGAGGAAAGGUCCCCCCCACACUGGGUACUGAGACACGGACCAGACUCCUACGGGAGGCAGCAGUGAGGAAUAUUGGUCAAUGGUCGAGAGACUGAACCAGCCAAGUCGCGUGAGGGAAGACUGCCCUAUGGUUGUAAACCUCUUUAGGUCGGGGAGCAAAAAAAGCGGUACGUGUCCGCCAUUGAGCGUACCCGAAGAAUAAGCAUCGGCUAACUCCGUGCCAG